UGACCAUUAGCUGUUACCAAGACAGCAGCUACACUUCAUGGGCCUCAAACAAGAUUAACACAAUUAUAUAUAUAUAUAUAUAUAUAUAUAUAUAUAUAUAUAUAAAACAAAAUCACAGUACCUCAUAUAGCACAUUAUUACACCACUACAUAUCUACAACACAACACAUUAUUACACCACUACAUAUCUACAAUACAACACAUUACUACACCACAACACAUCUACAAUACAACACAUUACUACACCACUACAUAUCUACAAUACAACACAUUACUACACCACUACAUAUCUACAAUACAACACAUUAUUACACACUAGUCUACCACUACAUAUCUACAUUACAACACAUUAGUACACGCUACUCUGCCACUACAUAUCUAGAAUACAACACAUUAUUACACCACUACUCUACCACUACAUAUCUACAAUACAACACAUUACUACACCACUACUCUACCACUACAUAUCUACAAUACAACACAUUAUUACACCACUACAUAUCUACAAUACAACACAUUAUUACACCACUACACAUCUACAAUACAACACAUUACUACACCACUACAUAUGUACAAUACAACACAUUACUACACCACUACAUAUCUACAAAACAACACAUUAUUACAGCACUACAUAUCUACAAUACAACACAUUAUUACACCACUACAUAUCUACAAUACAACACAUUACUACACCACUAUAUAUCUACAAUACAACACAUUAUUACACCACUACACAACUACUAUACAACACAUUACUACACAACUAUAUAUCUACAAUAUAACACAUUAUUACAUCACUACACUACCACUACAUAUCUACAAUACAACACAUUAUUACACCCCUACAUAUCUACAAUACAACACAUUACUACACCACUACAUAUCUACAAUACAACACAUUAUUACACCACUACUCUACCACUACAUAUCUACAAUACAACACAUUAUUACACCACUACUCUACCACUAUAUAUCUACAAUACAACACAUUAUUACACCACUACUCUACCACUACAUAUCUACAAUACAACACAUUACUACACCACUACAUAUCUACAAUACAACACAUUAUUACACCCCUACUCUACCACUACAUAUAUACAAUACAACACAUUAUUACACCACUACAUAUCUACAAUACAACACAUUAUUACACCACUACUCUACCACUACAUAUCUACAAUACAACACAUUACUACACCACUACACUACCACUACAUAUCUACAAUACAACACAUUAUUACAGCACUACAUAUCUACAAUAUAACACAUUAUUACACCACUACACAUCUACAAUACAACACAUUACUACACCACUACAUAUCUACAAUACAACACAUUAUUACACCACUACACAUCUACAAUACAACACAUUACUACACCACUACACAUCUACAAUACAACACAUUACUACACCACUACAUAUCUACAAUACAACACAUUAUUACAGCCCUACACAUCUACAAUACAACACAUUACUACACCACUACACAUCUACAAUACAACACAUUAUUACACCACUACUCUACCACUACAUAUCUACAUUACAACACAUUAUUACACCACUACUCUACCAAUACAUAUCUACAAUACAACACAUUAUUACACCACUACUCUACCACUACAUAUCUACAAUACAACACAUUAUUACACCACUACUCUACCACUAUAUAUCUACAAUACAACACAUUAUUACACCACUACAUAUCUACAAUACAACACAUUACUACACCACUACAUAUCUACAAUACAACACAUUAUUACACACUAGUCUACCACUACAUAUAAUAAAACAUUUAUAACACCACAAUGCAACAAUAUUACAACAUUACAAUGUAUGUGUGUUUAGAGUGCGUGUGCGUAGAGUGCAUGUGUAUGCAUGUGUUAGCGUGUGUUAGCGUGUGUUAGCGUGUGUAUGCAUGUGUUUGCCUGUGAGUGUGUCUCUUCACAGUCCGCGUUGUUCCACGAGGUGUAGUUUUAUCUGUUUUUUGAAAUCUGAUUUCACUGCUCAAUGCGGAAUAGACUUCUAUGUAGUCAAGGCUCUAUUUAGUACUGUGUGUUUCCCAAAGUCUGUUCUGUUCUGGUGCCCUGGUGACAUGUCUUGUGGGCUAUGCAUGGGUGUCUGAGCUGUGUGCUAGUCGCUUAACCAGAAAGCUCGGUGCUUUCAACAUGUCAAUACCUCUCAUAAAGAGAAGUAGUGAGGCAGUCAAUCUCUCUACUUUGAGUGAGGAUAGAUUGACAUGCAUUUUAUUGAUAUUAGCUCUCUGUGUACAUUUAAGGGCAAGCUGUGCUGCUCUGUUCUGGGCCAACUGUAAUUUGCCUAUGUCCCUCUU
rnacentral:lncRNA from 8 species